CCACAGCGUAUUUUACAAGUUUCACAACAGCCCCAACUUCUCUACCACAUUCAACUACAUCCACAACCAAAACAGCUAUCCCUGCGACACAACCUUCUAGCACUACCAGAUUAACCACGACUAGCACAGGUGCAUCAACAGACCCCCCUCAACAAAAUGAGGGUUACCUCUUUCUGAGGAUGCGUUUGGUGCGGGUUUUCGUAAUCGAAUACAACAACCCAAAAUCGUUGCAAUAUAAAGAAUUGGCUGCCAAUGUCACAGCUGAGCUGAAUCGGGGAUACAGGAAGUGGUACCCUUUCACUUUCCUGAGAUGCAUAAUUAUUGGAUUUUGGCCUGGCUCAGUGGGUGUCACAGCCAACUUGAUAUUCCAGAAUGAGAGUGUAGUUCCGAACAUCACCAGUGCAGAAGACUCAUUAAAAAAGUCUUUAAAUGAAUCCCUGGUUUUCCUGAAUGUUAUCACUGGCAGUAUUGUUGCAGCUGAACCAAAUGCCUCCAGUACUGUAACUCCUACAACUGUGGAGGCAACUAAUUCCACAGUAGCACCUACAACCACAAGUACAGCUGCAAGUACCAGUACAACAACGCAAACAACUCAAACUGCCACAGCACUCACCACCACCAGCGGUGCAAUGGCAAGGAGCAGACCUGUAGAUAUGGUCACUUUUCUACUACCAAUCACUUUAGUCAACUUUCUGUACAUUUUGAUGUAGAUCUUUUCUGACUGUUUUGGCCCUUUCCUUUCAUAUGAAAUUGUACCACUGUCAAAUUAACGUAAAAGCAAAUAGCACAAUCACUUGUUUUAAUGAUCUAUUAUGUAAUCAA